CUGAUUAGGGUGAUCGACAAAUAAUCAUUUGUGGAUCUUUGUAGCUCGCUUUCACUGCAUCAACCGAAACGUGAAAAAUCAUAUACGAAUUGGCUGCGAAGAGCAAUCUUAAGCCUGUGACAUUGGAACUAGGAGGAAAAUCACCAUUCAUAGUGUGUGAGGAUGCUGAUGUUGACAAGGCAGUCGAACUUGCACACUUUGCUCUGUUCUUCAAUCAAGUUCAUUCCAUUUACGCUAUCUACUUUCAAUUCGCUAAGUGAUAGGGCCAGCACAUGUGAAUAAUUAACGUAGUUAUUACUAUAAUGUUAUUAUUAGGGUCAAUGCUGUUGUGCCGGGUCACGUACUUACGUGCAUGAACGGAUAUACGAUGAGAUUUUUGAGAAAGCGAAGGCAACUGCUUUGAGACGUGUUGUCGGUGAUACAUUUAAGAAGGGCUUGGACCAAGGUCCCCAGAUUGAUUCAGAACAGUUUGAGAAAAUCCUCCGAUGCAUUAGAUCAGGUAUCGAAUCCAAUGCUAAUCUGGAAUGUGGUGGUGAAAGAAUUGGCACAAAAGGCUUCUUAAUUUUUCCAACCAAUUAACGGUCUUCUCAAAUGUUAAGGUGGUGUUGAUAUUUCUUAGUGCUUUACCAGACAUAUUGAUAAGGUUUUUUGACAAUGAUUGCUUACUCAAGUCAUUGAUCAGGAUGAUAUAUAUGCUGAUAGCACAAGAUGACAUCUUUGGCCUAGUCCAAACUAUCCUAUGACUUACAGAACUUUAAGACUCA